UACGGGGGGAGCAAGCGUUGUUCGGAUUUACUGGGCGUAAAGGGCUCGUAGGCGGCCAACUAAGUCAGACGUGAAAUCCCUCAGCUUAACUGGGGAACUGCGUCUGAUACUGGAUGGCUUGGAUUCGGGAGAGGGAUGCGGAAUUCCAGGUGUAGCGGUGAAAUGCGUAGAUAUCUGGAGGAACACCGGUGGCGAAGGCGGCAUCCUGGACCGAUAUUGACGCUGAGGAGCGAAAGCGUGGGGAGCAAACGGG
rnacentral:rRNA from 1 species